rnacentral:tRNA from 1 species
AUCCAGGUGGCUCAGCGGUAGAGAACCUGCCUGCGAUGCAGGAGACGCCAUAUGUUUGAUCCCUGGGUU